rfam:Populus trichocarpa scaffold_682_contig_1, whole genome shotgun sequence.
UCUAGAACUCGAGAUAUGGGCUGAACACUGAACAGUGUCUGGGCUGCAGGACAGAUUCUGACUUCUCCGUUGUUGCUAAGAUUUGGACUUCCAAACAGCAGAAUUGAGUCUUUCACUCCCCAUGAAUGUUUUAGGCCUAUGUCUUAGCUUUCUAGC